rnacentral:misc_RNA from 1 species
UUUUCGCAAGAGGGAUCGCAGUGGAAAUCCCGGAAUAACGGCCGCCAGGCCGGUAUGAGGAAUUGCAACGAAGAGCCCGGCUUUUU